rnacentral:rRNA from 1 species
UACGUAGGGUGCAAGCGUUAAUCGGAAUUACUGGGCGUAAAGCGUGCGCAGGCGGUUUUGUAAGUCUGUCGUGAAAUCCCCGGGCUCAACCUGGGAAUUGCGAUGGAGACUGCAAGGCUAGAAUCUGGCAGAGGGGGGUGGAAUGCCGCGUGUAGCAGUGAAAUGCGUAGAGAUGCGGCGGAACACCGAUGGCGAAGGCAGCCCCCUGGGCUGAGAUUGACGCUCAGGCACGAAAGCGUGGGGAGCAAACAGG